rnacentral:rRNA from 1 species
UACGUAGGGCGCAAGCGUUGUCCGGAAUUAUUGGGCGUAAAGAGCUCGUAGGCGGCUUGUCACGUCGGAUGUGAAAGCCCGGGGCUUAACCCCGGGUCUGCAUUCGAUACGGGCUAGCUAGAGUGUGGUAGGGGAGAUCGGAAUUCCUGGUGUAGCGGUGAAAUGCGCAGAUAUCAGGAGGAACACCGGUGGCGAAGGCGGAUCUCUGGGCCAUUGACUGACGCUGAGGAGCGAAAGCGUGGGGAGCGAACAGG